rnacentral:rRNA from 1 species
AUUGAACGCUGGCGGCAUGCCUUACACAUGCAAGUCGAACGGUAACAGGCCGCAAGGUGCUGACGAGUGGCGAACGGGUGAGUAAUGCAUCGGAACGUGCCCAGUCGUGGGGGAUAACGCAGCGAAAGCUGCGCUAAUACCGCAUACGAUCUAUGGAUGAAAGCGGGGGAUCGCAAGGCCUCGCGCGAUUGGAGCGGCCGAUGGCAGAUUAGGUAGGUUGUGGGGUAAAGGCUCACCAAGCCGACGAUCUGUAGCUGGUCUGAGAGGACGACCAGCCAAACUGGGACUGAGACGCGGCCCAUACUCCUACGGGAGGCAGCAGUGGGGAAUUUUGGACAGUGGGCGAAAGCCUGAUUCAGCCUUUCCGCGUGCAGGAUGAAGGCCCUCGGGUUGUAAACUGCUUUUGUACGGAACGAAACGGCCUUUUCUAAUACAAGAGGCUAAUGACGGUACCGUAAGAAUAAGCACCGGCUAACUACGUGCCAGCAGCCGCCGUAAAAC